GACGAACGCUGGCGGCGUGCUUAACACAUGCAAGUCGAACGAAGUGGCGAACGGGUGAGUAAUACGUGGGUAACCUGCCCUCCUUUUUGGGAUAAGCCUUGGAAACGGGGUCUAAUACCGAAUAAAGGGGGAUGGGCUCGCGGCCUAUCUGCUUGUUGGUGGGGUGAUGGCCUACCAAGGCGGUGACGGGUAGCCGGCCUGAGAGGGUGAACGGCCACAUUGGGACGGGGCUGAGGCCCAGAGUACUAAGUGGGGGAGAAGUGGGGGAUAUUGCAGAAUGGGUGAAAGCCUGAUGCAGCGAGGCCGCGUGGGGGAUGCAGGCUUUCGGGUUGUAAACCUCUGUCGCUAUCGAAGGGGUAGGUGGAGAAGAAGCGCCGGCUAACUACGUGCCAGCCGCCGCGGUAAUAC
rnacentral:rRNA from 1 species